AUUGAACGCUGGCGGCAUGCUUUACACAUGCAAGUCGAACGGCAGCGCGGGCUUCGGCCUGGCGGCGAGUGGCGAACGGGUGAGUAAUACAUCGGAACGUGCCCAGUAGUGGGGGAUAGCUCGGCGAAAGCCGGAUUAAUACCGCAUACGACCUUAGGGUGAAAGCGGGGGAUCUUCGGACCUCGCGCUAUUGGAGCGGCCGAUGGCAGAUUAGCUAGUUGGUGGGGUAAAGGCCUACCAAGGCGACGAUCUGUAGCUGGUCUGAGAGGACGACCAGCCACACUGGGACUGAGACACGGCCCAGACUCCUACGGGAGGCAGCAGUGGGGAAUUUUGGACAAUGGGCGAAAGCCUGAUCCAGCAAUGCCGCGUGUGUGAUGAAGGCCUUCGGGUUGUAAAGCACUUUUGGCGGGAACGAAAAGGACUGUGCAAAUACCACGGUUCGAUGACGGUACCCGCAGAAUAAGCACCGGCUAACUACGUG
rnacentral:rRNA from 1 species